rnacentral:rRNA from 1 species
UACAGAGGGUGCAAGCGUUAAUCGGAAUUACUGGGCGUAAAGCGUGCGUAGUCGGCUUUUUAAGUCGGGUGUGAAAUCCCCGGGCUCAACCUGGGAAUUGCAUUCGAUACUGGAUCGCUAGAGUUCGGCAGAGGGAAGCGGAAUUUCCGGUGUAGCGGUGAAAUGCGUAGAGAUCGGAAGGAACACCAGUGGCGAAGGCGGCUGCCUGGACAGAUACUGACGCUGAGGCGCGAGAGCGUGGGGAGCAAACAGG